UCGCGGAUAGGGAGCGCGAGCGUGAAGAAACCGGCCGCCAUCUUACUGUACCCACAACAGUCGCCGCAGCGAUCAUGGCAACUUCUUGCAAUUACGGUCGUACCAACCGUACUGGCAAGGUUACAGGGCCUAAAUUUAUACAGGUUUCGUCAUGAGGGCUACCCAGUGAAUAAUCUGUGCAGAGUGAUACGGCUGGGUGUACAGGUUACUUCACAGCUGCCUCGACAUACUCAAGAAAUGGGUGCAGAACCUGCGUAAUGCCCACAAACUUUGACUACCACAGCAC